AUGUAAAAUGACUGUAAGUUGCUUUGUAUAAAAGCGUCUACUAAAUGGCAUAUA
rfam:Salmo salar isolate Sally breed double haploid chromosome ssa13, whole genome shotgun sequence.